rnacentral:pre_miRNA from 1 species
GUACUACUCCCUCCGUCCGAAAAUACUUGUCAUCAAAAUGAAUAAAAGGGGAUGUAUCUAGAUGUAUUUUAGUUCUAGAUACAUUCCUUUUUGUCCAUUUUGAUGACAAGUAUUUUCGAACGGAGGGAGUACUAG